AUUAUAAUCAUUGCCAGGAAAUACUAAUACCAUUUUACAUUUAACUCAGAAGAGAUUAUAAAGGCUUAUAAACUAUAUCAUUAUAAUGCAUUAUUAUAUCAUGAUCUGACAAGCCCUUAUUAAACAGCUGUAUGUGACAUGUCAUUGCCAAACCUGCCAGGCCUUUGGUUCUGGAUCAGCCAAUUAUCAAGUUCUUUAUGAGUUGAAUCACAAAUUAUGGUACAGCAGGAGCUGUGGUCUAUCUAGAAUGAGUCUGGCGCUUUGGCCUAACCUUAUGAGCAAAGUAUGUCCUAGCAGGAGGAGAGAUCCGAGAUGCCUCAAAUUUUGUAGUCAUUAAGCACCACACAGCAGCCAAUAAAUGUCAAGAGCUAAAGCCUAUAUUCAGGUCAGGACGUAUUCCUCUGACAGAUAAUGGAAAGACCUUUAUCAAGACAAAAUACACAAGCCCACAACUUGGUGUCUAGUAAGUAUAAAUAAAGUCAUACAUGUGAGUCUCAACAUAAAUUCAAGCAGAUUGUGAUGACACUUAAGCUGUAGUCAUUAUACAACAGGAUAGGCUGUGUAUAUCAUACAUUCACCACCUAGCAUUUUUACAUUCUGACUCAGCUCACAUGACACACAACAUAUUGUUCAAUUAACCAAAUUUAAAGUAGAAAAGAUAUUAACUCUGUAUUUGAGCCCUGACCAUAGCCAAAGUGGCUGGGAAUAAAAUGUGAAAUAUGAGCAUGUGGUGUGGGAGCCAAACCCAAAUUAGAUAUGCUCCCAUAUGGCUAUCCAGGCUUGAGAGUAUAGGAGGAGUGUAUAUUUGGCUGGGAUAAGCUGUGUGCAGCAGGCAGAGCAGGCAAGCACGGGGUUUGGGUUACAGACAGAGAGAGACAGACAUAGGUGGAGAAGGACAAGGAGGAGUUUGCAUCGCUAGCAAGCACCACUCUGAGACUUAGUAGUUCCAGCACUUCUACCAAAAAAUGACACCCAGAGAAAUGUGACUCUGGCAGGAGGAGCAGGAGGGUGUGAGCUGGGAGACUGGACUGUAUGUGUGUGUGUAUGGUCGCGGGGGAGCCUGGAGCCAUCCCAGUGGACUCGGGGCACAAGGUGGGGGACACCCUGUACGGGGUGCCAACCCAUUGCAGGGCACAAUCGCGCGCACACCCAUUCACACACUAUGGACAAUUUGGAAAUGGCAAUCAGCCUACAACAUGUCUUUGGACUGGGGGAGGAAACCAGAGUACCCAGAGGAAACCCCCGGAGCACUGGCAGAACAUGCAAACUCCACACACACAGAGCAGAGGCGGGAUUUGAACCCCCAACCCCGGAGCACCCUGCUGUGCCUCACCUGGUCAUUGGGCCCCACACUGAUCAUCAUCAUCUCCCCACCAACACUGAUCCAGCCAAGGCCAGUGGCAUUGUGGGAGUUCACGCCUCUUCUGAACCAUACCUAUGAUACACA